UGCGAGUCGACGAAAAAUAAUUUUUCGUGGCGUACGGGUGAGUAAUACACAGGAAUCUGCCUUUUAGUUCAGGAUAAAAUUCUGAAUAACAAAAGAAAACUUUUCGCUAAAAGAUGAGCCUGUGUAGGAUUAGGUAGUUGGUAUUUGGGUAAAGGCCUACCAAGCCUAUGAUCCUUAGCUGUUCUGAGAGGUUGUACAGCCACACUGGGACUGAGACAAGGCCCAGGCUUCAUUUGGAGCCAGCAGUGAGGAAUUUUGGACAAUGAGCGAAAGCUUGAUCCAGCAAUACUACAUGAGUGAUGAAGGCUUUCAAGUUGUAAAACUCUUUGGUUGAGGAGGAUAAUGACAGUACUCAACAAAAUAGCCCCGGCUAACUUCGUGCCAGCAGCCGCGGUAAUACGAAGGGGGCGAGCGUUAUCCGGAAUGACUGGGCGUAAAGGGUCCGUAGGCAGCAUUUUUUGUUAGAGGUUAAAUAAAAAAGCUUAACUUUUUUCCGCUUCUAAAACGUAAAUGCUUUGAGUUUGAUAGGAGAUAGCAGAAUUUCACAUGGAGGGGUGAUAUCCGUAGAUAUGUGAAGGAAUACCAGAGGCGAAGGCGGCUAUCUAGAUCAAUACUGACGUUGAGGGACGAAAGCAUGGGGAGCAAACAGGAUUAGAUACCCUGGUAGUCCAUGCCCUAAAAGAUGAGUGCUCGUGCUUAGAUAUUUUUAGGCACUUAGUUAACACGUUAAGCACUCCGCCUGGGGAGUACGACCGCAAGGUUGGAACUCAAAGGAAUUGACGGGGGCCUAUACAAGUGGUGGAGCAUGUGGUUUAAUGCGACAAUACGCGCGAAACCUUACCAGUUUCUUGACAUAAAAAAGAAAAAGUUUGAAAGGACAAUUUUGAAGAUUUUUACAGGUGCUGCAUGGCUGUCGUCAGCUCGUGUCGUGAGAUGUUAGGUUAACUCCUUUUUAACGGGCGAAACCCCUUUUCUUAGUUGCCACUUAAAUUUUAA
rnacentral:rRNA from 1 species